AAGGCCCUACUGUGCUCGUGCAAGGAAAGUAUUUUUUAAAACCUACAAACGUCGUAUCGGGAUCUUUUAUUUAUUGGCCGGUAGAUAUGGUUAAUAAUGAGUGCCCACCUUGAAAAAGGGUUGAUUAAAAAAUUCUUCUCACGGCAGCAGUGGAGCCUUU
rnacentral:other from 1 species